AACAUAUAGAGGAGAAAAAUGAUAGGGUCAGGGAUAAAUUUGGUGAUGACUGUUAUAGGAUUUGCUGUUAGUACUAUGUUUAUAGUAUUUGUGUGCAACCGUUUAAUUUGCGCUCGGAUUCAGUUAAACGCAUCAAGACGCUCAUUUCCUAUUACUUCCAGAUCUGAUCUUAGCAUUCUGGAACGAGGAUCACAUGGCCUUGAGCCUGUAAUUGUUGCAAACUUUCCAACGAAGAAGUACAAUGAUGAACUUUUCUUGGCAUCAGAAGAUGCACAGCAUUAGCUUAAGUUGUCAGUGUUUCGUAUGCUCACACCCAGGUAAUGGUGUUGGAUACAUGUGCAUCUUACAGACAACUAUAUAUUCGAAAAAGGGAAGUGUUCAAGAAAAUAUUUCCAGAGUCACGUGAUGAGUUUAUGGAGAUGUCGAAUAAAUUUGGUUUUAAGUUUUCCUUUGAAAGGUCAGAAAGCACAACUUUGAAAAGAAGCUCGAGUGUUGGCUCGAAAAGAACACGUUCUGUUAAUGUAGAUGGAGAUGAAUUGCCUUUGAGACUUGAAAGGUUUAAGGUUCGCACAGUAGUUACCGGCGGUGGUGCCCCUGGUGGUGAUAAGGGUGAUUCCAAGUCUGGUGGCGGCGCCGGUGGUGGUGCUUCCAAAUCAAAAUAAAACAUGGUUAAAAACCGAAGGAUUUAUUAAUUAGCCAAACUCAUUGAUGUUUAGUGAUAUUAACUUUCAAGUUGCUAAUUUUUUGUUUUAAAUCAAAUUAUUUUGUUAAAAGAAAUGACUUCAUUGUUUGUUUU